GAUGAACGCUAGCGGCAGGCCUAAUACAUGCAAGUCGAACGGUGUCUUCGGACAUAGUGGCGCACGGGUGCGUAACACGUAUGCAACCUACCUUACAUUGGGGGAUAGCCUUUCGAAAGGGAGAUUAAUACCGCAUAAGACAGUAGCUGGGCAUCCAGCAGCUGUUAAAGAUUUAUCGAUGUAAGAUGGGCAUGCGUCCAAUUAGUUAGUUGGCGAGGUAACGGCUCACCAAGACUUUGAUUGGUAGGGGAACUGAGAGGUCAAUCCCCCACACUGGCACUGAGAUACGGGCCAGACUCCUACGGGAGGCAGCAGUAGGGAAUAUUGGGCAAUGGACGCAAGUCUGACCCAGCCAUGCCGCGUGCAGGAUGAAGGCGUUAUGCGUUGUAAACUGCUUUUAUACAGGAAGAAACGACUCUUGCGAGAGGCAUUGACGGUACUGUAUGAAUAAGCACCGGCUAACUCCGUGCCAGCAAAAAAAAAAAA
rnacentral:rRNA from 1 species